rnacentral:rRNA from 1 species
CCCCUAGAUGUUCUGGGCCGCACGCGCGCUACACUGAACAGUUCAACAAGUCUUAACCUUGGCCGAUAGGUCUGGGUAAUCUUUGAACGCUGUUCGUGAUUGGGAUAGACCUUUGCAAUUAUGGGUCUUCAACGAGGAAUUCCUAGUAAACGCAAGUCAUCAGCUUGCAUUGAUUCCGUCCCUGCCCUUUGUACACACCGCCCGUCGCACCUACCGAUUGAAUGGUCCGGUGAAAUCUCGGGACGGCGGCUUGGUCGCUUGCGUCCGACUGCUGAAACUUGAUUAAACCAUAUCAUUUAGAGGAAGGUGAAGUCGUANCA